GACGAAGGAUGCAAGCGUUAUCCGGAUUCAUUGGGUUUAAAGGGAGCGUAGGCGGCCUUGUAAGUCAGUGGUGAAAUCUCGCAGCUUAACUGCGAAACUGCCAUUGAUACUGCUUGGCUAGAGUACAGAUGCCGUGGGCGGAAUAUGACAUGUAGUGGUGAAAUACAUAGAGAUGUUAUAGAACACCGAUUGCGAAGGCAGCUCACAAAACUGUAACUGACGCUGAGGCUCGAAAGUGUGGGGAUCAAACAGG
rnacentral:rRNA from 1 species